rnacentral:rRNA from 1 species
UACGUAGGGGCUAGCGUUAUCCGGAAUUACUGGGCGUAAAGGGUGCGUAGGUGGUUUCUUAAGUCAGAGGUGAAAGGCUACGGCUCAACCGUAGUAAGCCUUUGAAACUGGGAAACUUGAGUGCAGGAGAGGAGAGUGGAAUUCCACGUGGAGCGGUGAAAUGCGUAGAGAUGUGGAGGAACACCAGUGGCGAAGGCGACUCUCUGGUCUGUAACUGACACUGAGGCACGAAAGCGUGGGGAGCAAACAGGAUUAGAUACCCGCGUAGUCCCUGA